rnacentral:lncRNA from 10 species
GCAGGUACCUGUAAUCCCAGCUACUUGGGAGGCUGAGAUAAGAGAAUCACUUGAACCUGGGAGGGGGACGUUGCAGUGAGAUGAGACUGCACCGCUGCACUCCAGCCUGGGUGACAGAGCAAAACUCCAUCUCAAACAAAAACAAAAACAAAGAACAAAAAACAAAACAAAGCAAAGAAACAACCAAGUAACCAACUGACCAACAAAAGCCAGGGAGUUGCUUUUUGGGUAAAUCUGCAGGCUGCUAGCAUAACCCUUAGGAGGCAAAAAGAUGGGCUGGCCUAAGCUGACAGGGCUGGGGAAGGAUCAUGGGCUAUAAAUUAAUUUGGGAAAAAGUAGUUCAUACUUCCAAAUAUAUUACCCUACCAUACUACUAACAGAGGCACCUCCCGUGUCAAGUAUUCAGUGUUGUCUGGCGCCAUGAAAGUAAGCACUUCCUACACAGUAUCUAGAUUAAUCUCACAGCCAGCUUCGUGGUAUUUUAUCUUAUUUUAUUAUUUAUUAAUUUAUUUUUGAGAUGGAGUCUAGCUCUGUCGCCAGGCUGCAGUGCAGUGGUGCAAUCUUGGCUCACUGCAACCUCCACCUCCCAAGUUCAAGCGAUUCUCCUGCCUCAGCCUCCCGA